rnacentral:rRNA from 1 species
UAAAUACCUUAACGAGGAACAAUUGGAGGGCAAGUCUGGUGCCAGCAGCCGCGGUAAUUCCAGCUCCAAUAGCGUAUGCUAAAAGUUGUUGCAGUUAAAAAGCUCGUAGUCGAAUUUUUAAUUAUUUAUUUUUGUUUAAUUUGGAAUUUCUUUUCUAAAGAAAUUUCUUAUUAUGAUAAAUAAUAACAUUUUUGAUAAAUUUCUGAUAAUUUAUUAAUUUAAAUUAUUAUAAAAAUCUUUAAUGAAAAUUAAGGAUGAAAUUAUCAAUCUUUUACUGUGAAGAAACUUGAGUGUUCAAAGCAAGCUUUUAAAUUCCGCUUGAAAAAUUCAGCAUGGGAUAAUGAAAUAAGCUAAAAAACGUAACCAUUUUUCGCCGAUUUUCGGUUUUAGAAAGCGUUUAAGAAUGAUUGAUAGGGGCGGUCGAGGGCACUCGUACCCAGAGGUCAGAGGUGAAAUUCUUGGAUUCUCGGGAGACGAACUUAUGCGAAGGCGUUUGCCAAGGACGCUUUCUUUGAUCAAGAACGAAAGUUAGGGGAUCGAAGACGAUCAGAUACCGUCGUAGUCUUAA